UCAUCUGGAAAAAUAAAAUCGUUCCUUGGGAGAAGGUGCCCAGUUCAGGUAAAAAUGCUCUGUUUGCUCUGCUUUACUCUUUUUGAGGAAUUUAAAUAUUUAACAGCACAGUGAUGUGCCCUGUACAAGGCGUUUUGGUCCUCAGAUGGUAAAUUCCUGCUUUCCCAGCUUGUCCAGGCCUUGAAGGAAGAGCAGCAAAUGAAAUCUUGAGCCUCAAGCCCUUCAGCUGCUGUAGUUUACAUCGUAGAAUCAUGGAAUGGUUUGGGUUGGAAGGGACCUCAAAGCCCACUCAGUUCCACCCCUGCCGUGGGCAGGGACACCUCCCACUGGAUCAUCAACCUAUUCCUUUUGUCCUAAACCAACUACUCAUUCAUCUGUGCACUUCCAGUGUCUUCUGUAGCAGAAGAGAAACGAACCAAAAACCUGUGGGCAGUUAAAUUAAGCCAUGGCAAUGGUAGCAGAUUGAUUUCCCUAUGGAUGCUGUGGGAUAACAGAAUCCGUAACCCCUGCUCUACUCCUGCAAUAUUGGAAAUCAAAUCCUUAUGUGCUAGAAAAGCGCAUAAUGCAUCACUUUGUGUCUUUAUAUGUCUGUGUGUGUUUUAACUCUGGAAGCUUGUGGCCCCGAUGGUUCUACAGUAGCUGAGAUCUGAGAUGUGUGUCCUAAGUUUCUCAUGGCUGGAGUCCACGCGUGCGUUGAAGGAGGUCUGGGACCACUUCAAGUGCGAUAAACAGAGCAGCAUCUCGAUCCGAAAAUGGAAGUUGCAUCUGAUUGCAGCACACCCACGCUCUGGCUCGUGAUCGCAAUCGGGCAGAUGGUGGCUUCCUCGUGUUUAAUGGUGUUUUGUCUUUAGCUCAUGAUUCGAGUCUGUUUGCCGGAGCUGACAUCCUGGACUGUGGCUGGCUGGUUCCUGCAGCGGCUCUGGAGCCGGGAUUGAAAGGGCACAGGAAGCAGCUCCGACAGCCUUUCCUGGCACUUGGGAUAAACACGGAGGCUUUCUAUAAAUCCCAAGCCUGGAGCCAACAUCAGUAGAAAUGGCAUUGUGCUUUUUGGGGCCAGAUCCUGCACAUGCUCCCCUCCAGCGCUCCAGGGGAUUGCAACAGGAGACCUUAUGCACGUAAGAGUGCCGUGUGAAUCCCUGGCCCAGGUUGCCCAGGGAAGCUGUGGCUGCCCCAUCCCUGGAGGGGUUCCAGGCCAGGUUGGAUGGGGCUUGGAGCAGCCUGGGCCAGUGGGAGGUGUCCCUGCCCAUGGCAGAGGGUGGAACUGGAUGGGCUUUGAGGUCCCUUCCAACCCAGACCAUUCUACCAUUCUAGGAUGUGGUCAUGAGUGUCACUGUGCUGUUUCCCAGCACCUUCUGAAGUGGGUUUGCUGUUCCUCAGGCUGCUCAGCAUCUCCAUGAAGCUUGUUACUGGCGGAGGAGGACAGGGGAUGGUGGUGCUGGUGUCAGAGUGGAUUGUCCUGGUGCCUGAUAAAACCUGAUCUCUGCCACCUCCACAAAUGUCUGUCCCAGCAGCUGAGGGCUGGAGGAGUACCAUCUUCUCCAGGGAGGGAGGGAGGGGUGACGGGGGGUUCUAGCAGAGCAAACAGUGAGCAGCUGCUGUGCAGGAGCUCUCGCUUGGAUGGUGGGCAGUGCUCAGGGAGUUUUAUCAGGGCCUAUGGGGGUUCCCCCCGCCUUUGGUUUUUGUUUCCUUCUAUUUUUUCCCCUGGCCUUGGCUUGUCCUUUCUUUGAAGGCUGCCAGAGCGGGGGAGCUGAGCUUGGGGAAUGUGCAGGAGGUAAAGAGUCCUUCACACUGAUGCCUUUUGUAUUGCAGGGUAUAAAGGGCUGAGGCUGUCACUGAAAUGCAAAUGUGUACUUUUCCACUGAUUGGAGCCGCUUUUUCCCAGUAAACAAGAAUGCUGCGGGUUUUAAAGGCUGCUUCCCUCUGGUCUCUUGGUGUGGCUUAGUAGAGAGGUGAAGCUGAGCCCAGGAAUUCGGUGAUAGCUCAUCAUGAUGCUACUUGAUCUGUUAAAAUUGCCCUUGGGAGGAGCUGAUACAUCAGUGAAUACCCUCUACAGGACCGUCACCCUUUCACCAGGCACCUUUCUGAAGUGUGCAGCAUGACAGAGCUCCACGAAGCAGCAGCUUUGGGGGACUAUGACCUGGUGGAAGAGAUUUUGAGAACAGGGCGCUGCGACCCCAAUCACAAGGAUGUCGACUGGCAUGACAGGACCCCGCUGCACUGGGCUGCUGCAAAAGGGCAGUCAGAGCUGGUCAAGCUCCUGGUGGAUCACGGCGCCCGGCAUUGCCUGCGGAGCGAUGUGGGCCGGACCCCGGCUCACUUUGCUGCCGAGUCGGGGAGGCUGGGGGUGCUUCGCACCCUUCAUUCCCUGCACGCUGCCAUGGAUGCCACCGACCUCUUCGGCGACACUCCCAGGAGGCUUGCGGAGAUCUACGGUCACCAAGACUGCACCAUGUUCUUAGAAACAGCAGAGGUGGAGAGCAGAAACUAUUGCAGGACAGCUGCAAUGAAGGGAAUCCCCUUAGACCAGACAGAUGAAGACUGGGAACUCAAGAAAGAAGAGCUGGAGAGAAACCCACCGUGUUCUUGGGAGAACUACACAUCCUCUGCUCUGAAAAAUCAAAACCACCCAGGGAAGCAAUAGUGUGCUCUGCCUGUUUGGUGCCACUGACAGCUCAUAGUGUGGAGCAAAGACUGGUGGAUCUCAGAUACAUCUGCAGGAGGAAAUGUGGCUCGACAGGAGAAGCAGAUGGCAGUAAGAACACAUCUUUGUGACACGCUGUACGUACUGUCAUUAACAGGGAACAGGCUUUCCUCUGUACCAGUGUGGGAUCCUUCCCAUGGGAAACAAUCCACCAGGAGAAGCCUGCUCUGGUGUGGCGUCUCGUCCUUCAGGUCCUGUCUUCCUGCUCUGGCGUGGGGUUCUCUACAGGCUGCAGUGAGGAUAUCUGCUCAACCAAGGUCUUCUCCAUCGGCUACAAUUGUUUUCCUGUACCACCAUCUGGAUCAUCUCCUCCUCUGCCUUCUCUGAUUCUCUUUGUUGCAGGACUGUUUCUCACAGUUUUCAUCCCUUCUUGUUGCCCGGCAGUAACUUUGCUGUUUCUUGACCAUCUUUUCCCAGAGGAAGUACCAAAAUCACUCCUGGGCUGAGUUGGCAGUUGCACACAGUUGUUUUUCAGUGAAGUGGGGCAGAGGGAGGACAUGUAAAGCCGGGUGGGGAGUGGGGUCUCACCCCGAGUUGUCCACCCGAGGCCAUUUCCGUGUUGCUGUUCAUAAUUCAGUGACCACCUCCGGUGAAUGAGUGACAGAUUCCCACCGGAAUGAUGAAGCAGAGCAAGGUGGGGAUACAGUGACUGAUGUUGCAGAGCACACGACCACAGCAGAAAGAAACGUAAACUAAAAGAGGUAGAGCCAUGUUGUUUAGCAAAGUGGUUUUGAUCAGCAAACACCAAAGCAGGUUCAGAAGUUCUGGAGAAUCACUAUUCCUCCUUUGCAGUGAGCUCAUGAACCAGACCUGAAUUAGUUCAUUAUUGACUACAACUUAACUCUAAGAAUUCUCUUAAUCACAUGACCAUACUGAUUUCUACAACUGAUAAUAAGAAGACUUUAAUGAAGUUUUCUUAUCUUAGUCA